UGGGGAAUUUUGGACAAUGGGCGAAAGCCUGAUCCAGCAAUGCCGCGUGUGUGAAGAAGGCCUUCGGGUCGUAAAGCACUUUUGUCCGGAAAGAAAUCCUUGGCUCUAAUACAGUCGGGGGAUGACGGUACCGGAAGAAUAAGCACCGGCUAACUACGUGCCAGCAGCCGCGGUAAUACGUAGGGUGCAAGCGUUAAUCGGAAUUACUGGGCGUAAAGCGUGCGCAGGCGGUUUGCUAAGACCGAUGUGAAAUCCCCGGGCUCAACCUGGGAACUGCAUUGGUGACUGGCAGGCUAGAGUAUGGCAGAGGGGGGUAGAAUUCCACGUGUAGCAAUGAAAUGCGUAGAGAUGUGGAGGAAUACCGAUGGCGAAGGCAGCCCCCUGGGCCAAAUACUGACGCUCAUGCACGAAAAGCGUGGGGGAGCAAAACAGGAUUAGAUACCCUGGUAGUCCACGCCCUAAACGAUGUCAACUAGUUGUUGGGGAUUCAUUUCCUUAGUAACGUAGCUAACGCGUGAAGUUGACCGCCUGGGGAGUACGGUCGCAAGAUUAAAACUUAAAUGAAUUGACGGGGUCAUAGCU
rnacentral:rRNA from 1 species